AUUGAACGCUGGCGGCAUGCCUUACACAUGCAAGUCGAACGGCAGCACGGACUUCGGUCUGGUGGCGAGUGGCGAACGGGUGAGUAAUGUAUCGGAACGUACCUUUCAGUGGGGGAUAACGUAGCGAAAGUUACGCUAAUACCGCAUAUUCUGUGAGCAGGAAAGCAGGGGAUCGAAAGACCUUGCGCUGAUUGAGCGGCCGAUAUCAGAUUAGCUAGUUGGUGGGGUAAAGGCCUACCAAGGCGACGAUCUGUAGCGGGUCUGAGGGGAUGAUCCGCCACACUGGAACUGAGACACGGUCCAGACUCCUACGGGAGGCAGCAGUGGGGAAUUUUGGACAAUGGGGGCAACCCUGAUCCAGCCAUGCCGCGUGAGUGAAGAAGGCCUUCGGGUUGUAAAGCUCUUUCGGCCGGGAAGAAAUCGCAUAGGCUAAUACCCUGUGUGGAUGACGGUACCGGAAGAAGAAGCACCGGCUAACUACGUG
rnacentral:rRNA from 1 species